UGAGGAAUAUUGGUCAAUGGGCGAGAGCCUGAACCAGCCAAGUCGCGUGAAGGAAGAAGGUUCUAUGGAUUGUAAACUUCUUUUGUAAGGGAAUAAAAAGAGUUACGUGUAACUUAUUGUAUGUACUUUACGAAUAAGGAUCGGCUAACUCCGUGCCAGCAGCCGCGGUAAUACGGAGGAUCCAAGCGUUAUCCGGAUUUAUUGGGUUUAAAGGGUGCGUAGGCGGGCCCUUAAGUCAGUGGUGAAAGUUUGCAGCUUAACUGUAAAAUUGCCAUUGAAACUGAGGGUCUUGAGUGUAAAUAAGGUAGGCGGAAUGUGUUGUGUAGCGGUGAAAUGCUUAGAUAUUACACAGAACGCCGAUUGCGAAGGCAGCUUACUAAUCCAUGACUGACGCUGAGGCACGAAAGCGUGGGGAUCAAACA
rnacentral:rRNA from 1 species